CACGUAGGAGGCGAGCGUUGUCCGGAAUCAUUGGGCGUAAAGAGCGCGCAGGCGGCUCGGAAAGUCGGGCGUGAAAUGCCGGGGCUCAACCCCGGGACUGCGUCCGAUACUUCCGAGCUGGAGGUAGGUAGGGGAGAUCGGAAUUCCUGGUGUAGCGGUGAAAUGGCGCAGAUAUCAGGAGGAACACCGGUGGCGAAGGCGGAUCUCUGGG
rnacentral:rRNA from 1 species